GGAUGUGAGGGCGAUCUGGCUGCGACAUCUGCCAGGGUUGAUUGCCGGGGUUGAUGCGGCUGAUUUGGCUGGCGAGGCAGGUGUCGGCUUCCUCCCUCUGCACUCCAUGUGCGGCCCUUCCCAAGCUGCAUACUCAGUCGAAGAGACAACCACUCCCCAUAGAGGAGGACCAUUUCCCAGUCAGGGAGUAUGAGUAAGUGCUCUCCUCUGCUAGAACCUCCAAACCAGCUCUCAAAGAGAAGAGGAUGGCUAAUUUUAUCAGAAAGGCCUUGUACUCGCAGCAUAUUGGCAGUCAACUUGUGAUAGUGA
ensembl:misc_RNA 7SK 7SK RNA